rnacentral:rRNA from 1 species
UAAUACGUAGGGGGCAAGCGUUGUCCGGAAUCAUUGGGCGUAAAGAGCGUGUAGGCGGUCCGAUUAGUCGGCUGUGAAAGUCCAGGGCUCAACCCUGGGAUGCCGGUCGAUACUGUCGGACUAGAGUCCGGAAGAGGCAAGUGGAAUUCCCGGUGUAGCGGUGAAAUGCGCAGAUAUCGGGAGGAACACCAAUGGCGAAGGCAGCUUGCUGGGACGGUACUGACGCUGAGACGCGAAAGCGUGGGGAGCAAACAGGAUUAGAUACCCUGGUAGUCCACGCCGUAAACGAUGGGCACUAGGUGUGG